GAAAUGCGAUAAGUAAUGUGAAUUGCAGAAUUCAGUGAAUCAUCGAAUCUUUGAACGCACCUUGCGCUCCUUGGUAUUCCUUGGAGCAUGCCUGUUUGAGUAUCAUGAAAUCUUCACAGUAAAUCUUUUGUUAACUCAAUUGGUUUCUACUUUGGUAUUGUAGGUCUUUGCAGCUUCACACCUGCUCCUCUUUGUUCAUUAGCUGGAUCUCAGUGUUAUGCUUGGUUCCACUCGGCGUGAUAAGUUAUCUAUCGCUGAGGACACUGUAAAAGGUGGCCAAGGUAAAUGCAGAUGAACCGCUUCUAAUAGUCCAUUGACUUGGACAAUACUUUUAUGAUCUGAUCUCAAAUCAGGUAGGACUACCCGCUGAACUUAAGC
rnacentral:misc_RNA from 1 species